rnacentral:rRNA from 1 species
GACGAACGCUGGCGGCGUGCUUAACACAUGCAAGUCGAACGGAAAGGCCCUGCUUUUGUGGGGUGCUCGAGUGGCGAACGGGUGAGUAACACGUGAGUAACCUGCCCUGGACUUUGUGAUAACUUCAGGAAACUGGGGCUAAUACCGGAUAGGAGCUCCUGCUGCAUGGUGGGGGUUGGAAAGUUUCGGCGGUUGGGGAUGGACUCGCGGCUUAUCAGCUUGUUGGUGGGGUAGUGGCUUACCAAGGCUUUGACGGGUAGCCGGCAUGAGAGGGUGAACGGCCACAUUGGGACUGAGGGACGGCCCAGACUCCUACGGGAGGCAGCAGUGGGGAAUAUUGCACAAUGGGCGGAAGCCUGAUGCAGCAACGCCGCGUGCGGGAUGACGGCCUUCGGGUUGUAAACCGCUUUCGCCUGUGACGAAGCGUGAGUGACGGUAAUGGGUAAAGAAGCACCGGCUAACUACGUG